rnacentral:rRNA from 1 species
GUCCCAAGGGUAUGGCUGUUCGCCAUUUAAAGAGGUACGUGAGCUGGGUUGAAAACGUCGUGAGACAGUUUGGUCCCUAUCUGCCGUGGGCGCUGGAAGUUUGAGUGGGCCGGCGCCUAGUACGAGAGGACCGGAGUGGACGAACCUCUGGUGUACCGGUUGUGACGCCAGUCGCAUCGCCGGGUAGCUAUGUUCGGAAGAGAUAACCGCUGAAAGCAUCUAAGCGGGAAACUCGCCUCAAGAUGAGACUUCCCCGGGGACUAGAUCCCCUUGAAGGGUCGUUCGAGACCAGGACGUUGAUAGGUCAGGUGUGGAAGCGCAGUAAUGCGUUAAGCUAACUGAUACUAAUUGCCCGUAAGGCUUGAUCCUAUAACAG